rnacentral:rRNA from 1 species
AAGCGCUCAUGACCAGACUUGGGCUUGGUUGAUCAUCCAGGGUUCUCCCUGGUGCACUCUUCCAGCCCAGGCCAGCAUCAGUUCGCUGUGGGGGAUAAAGGCAGCGGGAAUGUGGCUCUCUUCGGGGAGUGUUAUAGCCCGUUGUGUAAUACCCUGGUGGGGACUGAGGUUCGCGCUUCUGCAAGGAUGCUGGCGUAAUGGUCAUCAACGA